UGGGGAAUAUUGGACAAUGGGGGCAACCCUGAUCCAGCAAUGCCGCGUGUGUGAAGAAGGUCUUCGGAUUGUAAAGCACUUUCGACGGGGACGAUGAUGACGGUACCCGUAGAAGAAGCCCCGGCUAACUUCGUGCCAGCAGCCGCGGUAAUACGAAGGGGGCUAGCGUUGCUCGGAAUGACUGGGCGUAAAGGGCGUGUAGGCGGUUUACACAGUCAGAUGUGAAAUCCCCGGGCUUAACCUGGGAGCUGCAUUUGAUACGUGUAGACUAGAGUGUGAGAGAGGGUUGUGGAAUUCCCAGUGUAGAGGUGAAAUUCGUAGAUAUUGGGAAGAACACCGGUGGCGAAGGCGGCAACCUGGCUCAUGACUGACGCUGAGGCGCGAAAGCGUGGGGAGCAAACAGGUUAGAUA
rnacentral:rRNA from 1 species